rnacentral:rRNA from 1 species
AUACGUAGGGUGCAAGCGUUAAUCGGAAUUACUGGGCGUAAAGCGUGCGCAGGCGGUUUUGUAAGACAAAGGUGAAAUCCCCGGGCUCAACCUGGGAACUGCCAUUGUGACUGCAAGGCUGGAGUGCGGCAGAGGGGGAUGGAAUUCCGCGUGUAGCAGUGAAAUGCGUAGAUAUGCGGAGGAACACCGAUGGCGAAGGCAAUCCCCUGGGCCUGCACUGACGCUCAUGCACGAAAGCGUGGGGAGCAAACAGGAUUAGAUACCCUGGUAGUCCACGCCCUAAACGAUGUCAACUGGUUGUUGGGGAUUUAUUUUCUCAGUAACGAAGCUAACGCGUGAAGUUGACCGCCUGGGGAGUACGGCCGCAAGGUUAAAACUCAAAUGAAUUGACGGGG